AGUGAACGCUGGCGGUAGGCCUAACACAUGCAAGUCGAACGGCAGCACAGUAAGAGCUUGCUCUUACGGGUGGCGAGUGGCGGACGGGUGAGGAAUACAUCGGAAUCUACUUUUUCGUGGGGGAUAACGUAGGUAAACUUACGCUAAUACCGCAUACGACCUACGGGUGAAAGCAGGGGAUCUUCGGACCUUGCGCGAUUGAAUGAGCCCAUGUCGGAUUAGCUAGUUGGCGGGGUAAAUGCCCACCAAGGCGACGAUCCGUAGCUGGUCUGAGAGGAUGAUCAGCCACACUGGAACUGAGACACGGUCCAGACUCCUACGGGAGGCAGCAGUGGGGAAUAUUGGACAAUGGGCGCAAGCCUGAUCCAGCCAUACCGCGUGGGUGAAGAAGGCCUUCGGGUUGUAAAGCCCUUUUGUUGGGAAAGAAAAGCAGCAGGUUAAUACCCCGCUGUUCUGACGGUACCCAAAGAAUAAGCACCGGCUAACUUCGUG
rnacentral:rRNA from 1 species